rnacentral:rRNA from 1 species
UACGGAGGGUGCGAGCGUUGUCCGGAAUCACUGGGCGUAAAGGGCGCGUAGGCGGCCUGAUAAGUAGGGGGUGAAAUCCUGCGGCUUAACCGCAGGGCUGCCUUCUAAACUGUCAGGCUUGAGCACAGUAGAGGCAGGUGGAAUUCCCGGUGUAGCGGUGGAAUGCGUAGAGAUCGGGAAGAACAUCAGUGGCGAAGGCGGCUUGCUGGGCUGUUGCUGACGCUGAGGCGCGACAGCGUGGGGGAGCAAACAGG